rnacentral:rRNA from 1 species
UACGGAGGGUGCGAGCGUUGUCCGGAAUCACUGGGCGUAAAGGGCGCGUAGGCGGCAGGCCAAGCGUGCGGUGAAAGUCCGGGGCUCAACCCCGGAUCUGCCGUGCGGACUGGUUUGCUAGAGCACUGUAGAGGCGAGUGGAAUUCCGGGUGUAGCGGUGGAAUGCGUAGAGAUCCGGAAGAACACCGGUGGCGAAGGCGGCCGACUGGGCCGGCCCUGACGCUGAGGCGCGAAGGCGUGGGGAACGAACGGG